rnacentral:misc_RNA from 1 species
AACGCACGAGACCUGCGGACCUGCGGAAGGAUCAUUAUCGAGUUAGGGUCUUCACGGGCCUGACCUCCCAACCCUAUGUUUACCAAACCUAUGUUGCUUCGGCGGGCCCGUCUCACGACCGCCGGGGGACGGUAAGACGUCCUCUGGCCCGUGCCCGCCGGUGGCCAACCAUCCAAAUUCUGAUUCAAACAUGUUAACCUGUCUGAGUGUCAGUUUUUAAUUAAAGCAAAACUUUCAACA